UGCCAGCCGCCGCGGUAAUACGGAGGGGGUUAGCGUUGUUCGGAAUUACUGGGCGUAAAGGGCGCGUAGGCGGACUAUUAAGUCAGGGGUGAAAGCCCAGGGCUCAACCUUGGAACUGCAUUCAAAACUGCUAGGCUAGAGUACGGUAGAGGGGGGUAGAAUUCCAUGUGUAGCGGUGAAAUGCGUAGAGAUGUGGAGGAAUACCAGUGGCGAAGGCGGCCCCCUGGAUCGAUACUGACGCUGAGGUGCGAAAGCGUGGGGAGCAAACAGGAUUAGAUA
rnacentral:rRNA from 1 species